CAGCCGCCGCGGUAAUACGAAGGGUGCAAGCGUUAAUCGGAAUUACUGGGCGUAAAGCGUGCGUAGGCGGUUUGUUAAGUCUGCUGUGAAAUCCCCGGGCUCAACCUGGGAAUGGCAGUGGAUACUGGCAAGCUAGAGUGUGUCAGAGGAUGAUGGAAUUCCCGGUGUAGCGGUGAAAUGCGUAGAGAUCGGGAGGAACAUCAGUGGCGAAGGCGGCCAUCUGGGACAACACUGACGCUGAGGCACGAAAGCGUGGGGAGCAAACAGGAUUAGAUACCCCCGUAGUCCCUGUCUCUUAUAC
rnacentral:rRNA from 1 species